GACCCGCUGAGGCAAAGCGGAGCCGCAGUGACAGAAGCGAGGAGCUGCCGCCCGGAGGGACUCACCGAGGCGCAGGGGCUGGAGGUGGUGCUGGGGGUGGGGCGCGCAGCCUAAGCAACCGUAGAGAAAAACGGAGGUGAAAAAUUCCCGAGGCCGACACGUUUUCUGGUGGCCCAGAGCUCCGCGGGUGUCAGACGCUUUCUCUGAGCUAGACCUCGGAGACCAGCCCACCCGCUUGGACCUGGCCCUCCAGAGGGCUCUUGGUGAGCUUUUCCCACCCUCCUCAUCAUAAAGGGCCUCGCGGUUCAAUGACGAGACUUUGCCUAAGAAAGAUUUCCCCGGGGGAAACGCUGGAAACUUCGUGGUACCCUCAUGCUUCCUCUACUACCUGCCUAAAGCCAGUCACUGUACCAGAGAAGAGGUGCUGAGCGGACCUGGGGGCACAGAGAGCUGGACCCUGAGUUGGAAAGCUCCAAGCUGCGCUAUACCUCCCAUUUGCUCCCUGCUGUGAAGAUCUCCACUAACAAGGAUUUGCUCCUUUGAGCUUUCUUCCUUCCCCCUAAAUUCCAUUUUUUCAGAGAUGUGAAAAUGUAGAUUUAAAAUAUUUUAAAGGAAUACACUUCUAAAUGAUAAGCUGUUGGUAUCAAGAAUGUAAUGGAAGAAUCAAGAUUGAAAAGAAAGGAAAAAAAAAGCCACACAGUGCAAACCGUUGAUAUUGACACAGAGACCGUUGAGUGGAUGAGCUGGUAAAUGCCACCGUCCAUCUCAAAGCUGUAGAAAACACACACUUAGGACUCGGCAGCUUCUAAAGCCCACCUCUUUCUGUUUGUCACUCAAACACUCUUGGAUCUCAUUGCUCCUUUUAAACUGACGGGGCUGUCGUGAGCUCUUUCUGGUUACUGUGUGGUUAAGUGACACAAGAGCCCUCUUUGCUGGGUCUUUGUUCUCUCCCUGGGGCCCUGUGGUUGAAAUAAUUAGCAGGGAGGUUCCAUCAAGAAUCACCGAGGGUCCCUGUACUGUACAGUCCUCUGUCGAGUGUACUGCAGAGAAACCAGCUGUUAGGCUUUUGCCCCCUGGUGGUGAUCAAGAGUGCCUAAGAGACAAACAUGAAAGAUCUAUGGUUCACAAACAAUGUUUUCCCCAGAGCUCCCCAGCAAACAGGAAAGAAAAGGCAAGGUUCAGAAAUAAGAACUUUGAACCAAUACUUUAGAGACCAAACAUAAAACUAUGUAAAGAACCAAGAACUCUACAUAGCUGAAAGAUGAAUGACCUCCAAUGAAUGUGUUUAUAAUCCAAAGGAGUAUCAAUAAUUCUCAGUGGUUCAUUCCCUUACUUACACGUGGUUGAAAACUUGGACUAUCUUCUUCUACGUAGUAAGAUACUCUAAAGAAAUUCAUCUUCAAGAGGAGAGGUUUGAUUCCAUUAACCUUACAGUGAGAAAGCACACUGCUGUGAGUCAGACCUUGCUUCUAGUUCCAGCUGUGUAAAACCUUAUGCAAAUGAUGUGAACAUUUUGAGCUGUAGUUCCUUAUUCUCUGUGAUGAAACUCAAGCUCACAGGGACUUUCAUAAUCAAAUGAGAUAAUGUAUGUAAAUUAAAAGGUCCUACAUGCAAUUAAGAUAAGUCUCUAUUCUCUGUAGUGUGUUGUGUUCUGAGUUCAGAGAGGCCUUGUUGAGUGUAUCCUAUAUGCAGGAAAUACCUUCAAGCAAAAGAAAAAUAUUAAAAGAUAUGAUUCAUGCUUUAUCUAAACUGUAGGUUAGUGGUCAAGAUACAUAUCUGUGGGUAAGUGUAGAACAUUUUUGUUUGGCAUAUCUAAGGUGAUGAAAUUGAGUUAUAUAAUAUUCAAAUUUGCACUGUUUAUAUCAGGAAGUUGAUUUAUUAACAUAUAAAGGAAAUAUAUCUUCGUGUCAUAUUAGAAACUGAGAUCUGAAAAAUUAUUGCUGCAUGUUUAUUAACUUAAUUGAGAGAAUGUUGAGUGCAUGUUGUAUACUAGGUAUUCUUUUUUAUUUCUGUGUCUAUGCAUGUGUGUUGGAAACGUGUGUGAGUGUAAAUAAAGAUGGAUGUGUCUAUGCAUACAUGUGUAGAGGACUGAGGUCAUUGUCAGGUGUCAAACUUUUUUCCCUUCCUCUCACGGGACCUGGAACUUGUCAAUUCAGCUAUCCUGGCUGGCUAGCAAGCCCCUGACCUGCUUGUCAUUGCUUUCUAAGGCACAGGGAUUAUAGAUGUGUUGUCAACACUAGCUUUUUAAAAAUAGUCUAUUUUGCUUUUUUUUAUAUUAUAUGUGGAAUGGGGGGCAUGCACAUGUCAUGGUUCACGCGUGGAGGUUGGAGAACAACUGAUGGAUAUAGUCCUCUCCUUCCACAAUGAGGAUCAUGGAUAUCCAGCUCAGAUCAUCAGGCUAGAUGGCAGGUUCUGUUACCCACUCAACCAUCCUCACUGGUCCCCCAUGCCUAUAUUAAGGACAAAAUAGAAGAAGUGUCUCAAGGAGCCCAUAGCCUCUGGUCAAGGAGAUGUGUAUGCAUCAACAAAUAAUUAAAGUAUACUGUAGUGCUA